AGACCAAUGCAUCACAUCACUUCUGCAAAUGGCUAUUUACACCAUGAAUAGUGAAAUCUAAGCUAGCCUAAAUAUGUUAUAUUGAGGGAUAAUUUGUUUUUAAAUUAUUUUAUUUAAAAAUAAAAAAUUAAUUGUACCAAGAUAAAUUAUCUUUAUUAUUAUUAUUAUUAUUAUUAUUAUUUAUUAUCUUUAUUAUCAUUGGCCGGUAAUAUUGCUUAUGUUAACCCCCCAAAAAGUCUUAAUACAAGUCAUUUAUUUUAUAACAACUGACUCUACUGAGGGCUGCGCCAACCAGAUGGAACUCCACCUCCAGGCUGGCACAGACAAUCUACUUUUACCAAUCUGAUCUACGUGCGCUGUUCCAGAUUAUGAGGGACAAUCCGGAUGACUGGGUUGGUGAGACCCUGACCAUGGCCUCCAGAUGUGAUCUUUGACUGUCAAAGGCAUCCACCUGCUCGUAUUGUUCUGCCUGACUGAGGUCCAGGAUCAGGAAGAACAAAAAGGCCCAGUUUGUCAACACCCAUAACCUGCUGCUGCUCCAAUACAAGUAUGAGGCUGAUGUUUUGAGGAUUCUUCUGGGCUACCUGACUCAGGACAGAGAGAGGCCGCUACUUAUACAGGUGCUGCGGUCACAGUGCCAGACCUGGGCCAACCCCCUCUGGUGCAGCAGCUCUAUGUGAGCCGGGCUCUGCUGCCUUGUGUGAGACUACUGAAACAUGCAGAGUUACAGGAGCCACGCUCAGAGCUGCUGCAGUGCAUGCUGGGAAGGACGCAGAGCAACCUGGACAGCAGCGUAGUGCGUGAGUCGCAUGGGCAUGGGGGUGGGGAAGUGUCUCCACUCCUGCAGGAACAUCAGCGGACUCAAACACACAUUCGAGGGGCAGUCAAUAAAUGGAAUGGCAAGGCCACAGAACAUGACUUACACAGAGCUGUGGAAGAUUACUUCAAGCCUGUCCCUGGUAGAGCCAGGAGUGGUGUUUACUACUGCAGCCUGCCAUGGGGGUGGUGUUUACCACUGUAGCCUACCAUAGGGGUGGUGUUUACCACUGUAGCCUACCAUAGGGGUGCCAUAGGGGUGGUGUUUACCACUGUAGCCUACCAUAGGGGUGGUGUUUACCACUGCAGCCUACCAUAGGGGUGGUGUUUACCACUGCAGCCUACCAUAGGGGUGGUGUUUACCACUGCAGCCUACCAUAGGGGUGGUGUUUACCACUGCAGCCUACCAUAGGGGUGGUGUUUACCACUGCAGCCUACCAUAGGGGUGGUGUUUACCACUGCAGCCUACCAUAGGGGUGGUGUUUACCACUGCAGCCUACCAUAGGGGUGGUGUUUACCACUGCAGCCUACCAUAGGGGUGGUGUUUACCACUGCAGCCUACCAUAGGGGUGGUGUUUACCACUGUAGCCUACCAUAGGGGUGGUGUUUACCACUGUAGCCUACCAUAGGGGUAGUGUUUAACACUGUAGCCUACCAUAGGGGUGGUGUUUACCACUGUAGCCUACCAUAGGGGUGGUGUUUAACACUGUAGCCUACCAUAGGGGUGGUGUUUACCACUGUAGCCUACCAUAGGGGUGGUGUUUACCACUGUAGCCUACCAUAGGGGUGGUUUUUACCACUGUAGCCUACCAUAGGGGUAGUGUUUACCACUGUAGCCUACCAUAGACCACCAUGCCUUUAGCAGGCUUGCAAAGUGACAUUGAAAUGUUUGUCUUUGUUUGAUCCAUUUGUUUGCUUCAGUUUUCAGUAAUUGAAUCCUUUGACAUAUUGUUGAUUUUAAAAUGUUUUUCAAAUGCACUGGAUGGGUCGAAAAUAUAUACUAACCUUACAUACCAUGCACCAUUUUGACAUAGCGGAAGAUACAUACUGAAUGUAUGCUGUUUUUCAUGCUAAGAUAGACCAAGAUACGUGUUGCUUUUGCACAUACUUGUUAAAUUGGUUUUGCAAGUCGGUUGAUUGGUUUUGCAAUAUGUUGAUGCCAUUGAUUAAAAGAGUAAGAAUAGGAUGCAAUGUCCAACCCAAAAUCUAAGCUUGUUUUACUCCAUUGUUUGUAAAAAAAGAAUUGUGAGAAGAAAAAAAAGCAGUUGGUUGCAUAGAUAAUUAUUAUUACUAAAUGUUACAUGAAAUGUAAAUAUUAAAUAUCAAAACCGAAUGGAAACCCAGUUGUAAAUAUGUAUUGGCAAUAAUUCACUUAACUGUGAGGCAUGGAAUAAUUUUUAUUUUGUCAGGCUGGAUGUUUGAAAUAUGAGUAGACAUGAUGAUUGGAGUCAUGCUUCUUCAGCAGUGGAAAAAAGGCAAUUAGCACUUGAAUGUUGUAAAGCAAAAACUGUGUGUAAAUAA